CAGCCGCACGGGAAUACAGAGGGUGCGAGCGUUAAUCGGAUUUACUGGGCGUAAAGCGUGCGUAGGCGGCUUCUUAAGUCGGAUGUGAAAUCCCUGAGCUUAACUUAGGAAUUGCAUUCGAUACUGGGAAGCUAGAGUAUGGGAGAGGAUGGUAGAAUUCCAGGUGUAGCGGUGAAAUGCGUAGAGAUCUGGAGGAAUACCGAUGGCGAAGGCAGCCAUCUGGCCUAAUACUGACGCUGAGGUACGAAAGCAUGGGGAGCAAACAGGAUUAGAUACCCCUGUAGUCCCUGUCUCUUAUACC
rnacentral:rRNA from 1 species